rnacentral:rRNA from 1 species
GAUGAACGCUGGCGGCGUGCCUAAUACAUGCAAGUCGAGCGAACAGAUGAGGAGCUUGCUCCUCUGACGUUAGCGGCGGACGGGUGAGUAACACGUGGAUAACCUCCCUAUAAGACUGGUAUAACUUCGGGAAACCGGAGCUAAUCCCGGAUAAUAUAUUGAACCGCAUGGUUCAAUAGUGAAAUACGGCUUUGCCGUCGCUUAUGGAUGGAUUCGCGCCUCAUCAGCUAGUUGGUGGGGUAGCGGCUUACCAAGGCUAUGAUGGGUAGCCGGCCUGAGAGGUUGACCGGCCACAUUGGGACUGAGAGACGGCCCAGACUCCUACGGGAGGCAGCAGUGGGGAAUAUUGCACAAUGGGCGGAAGCCUGAUGCAGCAACGCCGCGUGCGGGAUGACGGCCUUCGGGUUGUAAACCGCUUUCGCCUGUGACGAAGCGUGAGUGACGGUAAUGGGUAAAGAAGCACCGGCUAACUACGUG